GAAACUUUCAGUAGGACCCUGGGCAGUGGUAAAACCAACUACAUACUGUAAGAGCACAGUCUUAAGCAGCUGGAGCUGAGCUGAGGGCCAGGUUUACAAUGAAUUCCCACUGUUGAGACGGCUCCCUCUGCCCCACAAAACUAUAUUUCAAAAUGCCGAGAAGAUCUUUGCUUUCCUCACAAAAGAGCUGGAUGAACACAAGGCAACCUUUGUCCCAGGAGAGCACCGAGAUUUUAUUGAUGCAUAUCUAGACGAAAUGCAAAAG